GAUGAAGAACGCAGCGAAAUGCGAUAAGUAAUGUGAAUUGUAGAAUUCAGUGAAUCAUCGAGUCUUUGAACGCACAUUGCGCCCCCUGGUAUUCCGGGGGGCAUGCCUGUCCGAGCGUCAUUGCUGCCCUCAAGCACGGCUUGUGUGUUGGGCUCCGUCCCCCCGGGGACGGGCCCGAAAGGCAGCGGCGGCACCGAGUCCGGUCCUCGAGCGUAUGGGGCUUUGUCACCCGCUCUGUAGGCCCGGCCGGCGCCAGCCGACAACCCAUCAUCCUUUUCAGGUUGACCUCGGAUCAGGUAGGGAUACCCGCUGAACUUAAGCAUAUCAAUAAGCGGAGGA
rnacentral:misc_RNA from 1 species